rnacentral:sRNA from 1 species
GCCCGGGCGCCGAACGGCCCCAACAGCGUCGUGACACGGCGCCGCUGUGAUCAACGGUCGCAUUGCUCGCCUAUCAUCCCCAAGCCUGCGCCGCAUCCCCCGAAGUCUGAAUCCCGAUUGUCCAAAGACGCGGAACGAGUCCGGUCAGAGGUCGCUGUCGUGUCUCAGGACGUUAAGAAUUC